CACACAGCUGACACAACAGUAGAGACUUUCCAGAAGAACAGGUUCUCCUGGACCUUAUUUUCUACACUUCUGUUACUACACCAGGUGCUUACAGGUGGAAACUCAAGCAAAGACAAUGUCCUCAAAGCACUAGCGUAUGGUAUACACUGACAUCUGUCACAUACACAGUGGCCAGCUCACUACUACUCUAAAAUGAGCUUACCAACAGGCCUCAAGAGCCCUACACAACAGAGCCAGUCUUCAGUGCUACCCAACUUCGCGGGGCAAUCAAGACCUGUUCCAUUGCAGUUACCACCACUAGACCUACUUUCUGUGAAAGUAAGAAGUCCCCGAAACUACCUGGAACAGAUACUAACAAAGAAAAGGUCUCAAAUUAUCACAGUUUCCUUUUCAAGCAUCUGAUGAUGGCAAAUGGAACUGAGAGUAAAACCUAGGCUUGGAACACUCGAGAACACAGCAUGUAUUUCAGUGCUCAUUGCCUGAGGCAGCAGUGUACUUCAGAUGAUGGACAAUUAUCUCCUUUUUCUGAGGAAACUUGCUGAGCAUGGAGCUUCAAGUCCGUUUUUUAUUUCCAUUGUGUGAUUGGGAUAUUCCCUCUAUCAUUCUUCUUCCUAUAGGGUUGCCAA